rnacentral:rRNA from 1 species
GACGAACGCUGGCGGCGUGCUUAACACAUGCAAGUCGAACGGAAAGGCCCUGCUUGCAGGGUGCUCGAGUGGCGAACGGGUGAGUAACACGUGGGUGAUCUGCCCCUUACUUUGGGAUAAGCCUGGGAAACUGGGUCUAAUACUGGAUAGGACCAUGCUGUAGGUGGUGUGGUGGAAAGAUUAGUUUCGGUAAGGGAUGAGCUCGCGGCCUAUCAGCUUGUUGGUGGGGUAAUGGCCUACCAAGGCGUCGACGGGUAGCCGGCCUGAGAGGGUGGACGGCCACAUUGGGACUGAGAUACGGCCCAGACUCCUACGGGAGGCAGCAGUGGGGAAUAUUGCACAAUGUGCGCAAGCCUGAUGCAGCGACGCCGCGUGGGGGAUGACGGCCUUCGGGUUGUAAACUCCUUUCAGCCAUGACGAAGCCCUUGUGGUGACGGUAGUGGUAGAAGAAGCACCGGCUAACUACGAG